UAGAUUACUCAGAACCGCGCAUUGUU
rnacentral:piRNA from 1 species